UGGAACAUGCUGAUACAAGCACCCACUUGGAAACGUUGCAGAGGUGAAGUGCGCGCCCUUUCCGUGCAUUCACACUUUCCGGCUCUAAAUAUACACUUUGGGGCUCAACUUCGGGCCGUGCUGCAGUGCGUCACAACCAGGUCAGAGCCGUUCCUCCUCCUCGCGCUCGGGGCCGAGGCGCCCGCGCCGCGGCGCAGGGGUCACGCGUCGCCGCAGGUCCACCGUGUCGGUUACAAUGGCGCCACCACAACAGGAUUUGCUGCUGCAAGUUAGAUUAUGAGCUUAGUGGCUGCAGUGAGCGCAGGACACAAACACUGACAGGAGACGGACGGACCGCUGGAGGUUGGCGUGUGGGGGACACAGAGCAGAGAAGAAACGUCAGUGUGACAGGGAAGCACACUAAAACAGUGUCAAUUACAUUAGAGCGAAGAGGAGGCGAUGACGAUUUGUAAAUGGUCUGAAGACCUCCAUUAGUAUCUGCACGUGUGAUUUAUGGAGCCCAGUCGACUUCCGCUGAGGUCUAAUGUAACAGCUGAACGGCCAGGGCUGGAUUUAGCCCGGGUAUAAUGGAUAACUACACUCAGCUCUCAAACCGGCUGCAGCUCCGUCACUUUUAACGCGACGCUCCCUCACAGCCAGUAGCUGCUCCUGUUGAGGUUGUCCUGCCCUCGGCGCCGUCUCCAGCGACUCGGCCCCGCGGCCGAUCAUCCGUUCUGGAGCCGGUGCUGGACAUCAACGGCCUUUAAACCGCUCCGACAGGAGGGUGAAGACGCGUUUCCAUCGUCUGCCCGCGUUUCCCGUGAUUGUCUGGGAGGAUGAGAACAUCAUCAAUAACAGAACUUUAGGAAGCGAGUGGGUGUCGCACCAACUGCACGGACCUCCCACCAACGCCUCCGUGAGACUCCGGAAAAUUAAAUCCAACUCGAUCACGCCGCCGCGUGACGCUGGCGCAGCCGCAGCCUCCGAACACGAAGAACGGAGCAUUAGAAUGCGUCUGAGCUCAGAGACGAGUCUGGGAGGAGCUCCACCUGCUCCACCUGCUCCCACCGCGGCCCCAGAAGCACCCUCCAGCUUCCGAAGGCCCGCGAGGGUCCAUCUGCUGCUGGUCCAUACGUGGUCAAGUGUACGUUUACCUUUUGAAGGCAUCCGACGACUCAAUGCCAGCGAAUUACCAAGAAACAGUGAGGCUGCGAUUGCUGGCUCAAGCCAUUAAUUUCCCUGGAGAAAGAGUGCACUCUGCUUGGAGGGCCAGAGUGACCUUUCACUGACAGGACUGGAGCAGCAGAGACAGGCGGUGGACAAAUGAGAUAUUAGAAUGAAGGGAGUGGAGGAGAAUGCAGGCGGCCGCAUGUAUGGAUGCCUGACUUAUUUGCACAAGGAGCCGAUGCAGUGGAAUACGUGGACUAUUGUUUUAUUAAUAUGAUGUUGGUUUCUGCUGUCAACAGAUGUACUCACGCUGUGUUUUGGUCCAUUAAGAAAGAUGAACCUCUGAAUAAAUGUCAGCUUGCAGGCAAAUUACUUUUGGUGCUUCACUCAGAAGCAAUUGAUUGAAAACAAAGGAACUCUUACGAAGCGUCAAGAACCGAUCCAACGGCGACGGAAUCUGAGCCCAUAUCGUACGUCAGUCACAAAAUCACGGAGGGAGCGGAGGCUCGGAGCUUCUGAGGAUGCAAUUUAAAGGGGCUGAAGACAGAGGGGUUUUUUCUGGUGUCACAAACAUCUGAAUGUAAUUGUACAGAGCAGCUACUCGGGCUCGUCAGUCAGCAUGAAGCCAAAUGUGGAAAUGUUACAAAUAUCGCGUUUUCUUUCAAAGCGGUACUUGGUAUUCGGAGGAAGGGAGUUCUCCCAUUAGAGGUGAGACAGCGGCUGAGGCUCCCCAGCAAAGCGUGAUUGUUUGGCCACAGACCGGGUCAGCUUUACAUUCAGCUCAGGUUCUGGGCACAGCUGCAGCAUGUUGAGCACUGAGCUUUUAUUUAUGUGCGCAUGUGAAAAAUAGAUAAAACACAGA